rnacentral:rRNA from 1 species
UAUGGCGGCAGCUAGCUCUCUGCAACUCUCACAUGGUUGCCAACUGAAGCUAAGCAGGACUUUGCUUGGUCAGUACCUGGAUUGAAGACCACUUGGGAAAGCUAGGUUGCUGCCUAAA